rnacentral:rRNA from 1 species
CCAAGGCGUCGACGGGUAGCCGGCCUGAGAGGGUGACCGGCCACACUGGGACUGAGACACGGCCCAGACUCCUACGGGAGGCAGCAGUGGGGAAUAUUGCACAAUGGGCGCAAGCCUGAUGCAGCAACGCCGCGUGCGGGAUGACGGCCUUCGGGUUGUAAACCGCUUUUAGUAGGGAAGAAGCCUUCGGGUGACGGUACCUGCAGAAAAAGGACCGGCUAACUACGUGCCAGCAGCCGCGGUAAUACGUAGGGUCCGAGCGUUGUCCGGAAUUAUUGGGCGUAAAGAGCUCGUAGGCGGUUUGUCGCGUCUGCUGUGAAAUCCCGGGGCUCAACUCCGGGCCUGCAGUGGGUACGGGCAGACUUGAGUGGUGUAGGGGAGACUGGAAUUCCUGGUGUAGCGGUGGAAUGC